GGCGGCAGGCCUAAUACAUGCAAGUCGAGCGCACCUUCGGGUGAGCGGCGGACGGGUGAGUAACGCGUGGGAAUAUGCCCUUUGGUACGGAACAACUGAGGGAAACUUCAGCUAAUACCGUAUGUGCCCUUCGGGGGAAAGAUUUAUCGCCAUUGGAGUAGCCCGCGUUGGAUUAGCUAGUUGGUGGGGUAAAGGCCUACCAAGGCUACGAUCCAUAGCUGGUCUGAGAGGAUGAUCAGCCACAUUGGGACUGAGACACGGCCCAAACUCCUACGGGAGGCAGCAGUAGGGAAUCUUGCGCAAUGGGCGAAAGCCUGACGCAGCCAUGCCGCGUGAAUGAUGAAGGUCUUAGGAUUGUAAAAUUCUUUCACCGGGGAAGAUAAUGACGGUACCCGGAGAAGAAGCCCCGGCUAACUUCGUGCCAGCAGCCGCGGUAAUACGAAGGGGGCUAGCGUUGCCCGGAAUUACUGGGCGUAAAGGGCGCGUA
rnacentral:rRNA from 1 species